AUGACGGCUUCUACACAAAAUGAAAAGGGAGGGGCAUGUAAGAAAGAGCGGGAGAAAAGACAAGGACUUCAUUAAUAUACACACAGCUGAGAACUAUUCUCAUCGAAAUGCUAAUACUUUGCACAUGAGCAGCCACUAAUUUGAAAGAAUUGCAAUGUACAUAUUUACGUGGCUAUGUCUUUGCUAUUUCUCCGUUGAAAACCCUCGAUCCGUCUGGGGAGUAAUUUGACAGAAAGUCUCUGGUUUGUACACCAGAGAUCAAAGUCUUUCGUAGUUGUAGCUCUGUUAUAAUGGAUACAUCAGACAUACCAAUGGUCGUUUGAUAGGAAAUGUUACAUCACAAAUUAGUAAUGACUUCGACAUGAUUGUUCUGAGGUCCUGAGCGCUCUGGCCUGGCCAAGAUAAAGCAAAGCAGUGCGACAAUAACAACAACACAGAGCUAAACAUAAACAAAAUGUACAGUCAAUAACACAAUAGAAAAAUCUCCAACGGAGCUAAUCCAGUUUGUUCUCCAGUGAUUUGAUAGGAUAGUCUCCAACUGAGCUCAUCCAAUUUGUUCUCCAGUGACUGUACAUUCACCAGGGAAUAGAGGCGGUUUAUUUCUUACGGCGGUAUAGCACCCUGACACGAAACUAUGUAUCUUAUUGUUCUGCGUCUCGGGGAUUAGGGCGUGGUCUUGGGGAUUAGGGCGUGGUCUCGGGGAUUAGGGCGUGGUCUCGGGGAUUAGGGCGUGGUCUCGGGGAUUAGGGCGUGCACCAAAACAAGAUUGGAUCAGCACCCCCCCCCCCACACACACACACACACACAGAGGGUCUGCUUCCCAAACCAAAGGUUUAAUGUUUAAUGGGAGGACCAAAAGGCAGAACAGCUUCUAUCCCCAAGCCAUAAGACUGCUGAACAAUUAAUAAAAUGGCCACCUGGACUAUUUACAUGGACCACUUUAUAUUUUGCCCCUGACUCUAUGUGCUGUCACUCCAACACACACACACACACACUACAUAUUGAUGCUACACACUGUUUCACACUCGUUGUUGUUAUUUUAUUGUGUUGAUAUUUCCUUUUUUAUUUAGAAAUAAUUUGUCUGACUUUAUCUGCAUUGUUAGGAAAGGGCUCGUAAAGCAUUUCACAGUAAAGUCUACACCUGUUGUAUUAUGUGGCCCAAAACAUAUGAUUUGAUGUGACGGUGCCUCUUAGUCCCUGGCUUCAAGAAAGAUGUUUCAAAAACUGAAAUGACACUUUUUGUACACUGAGAGGUGGUAUAGCACAGCUUAUUGGAUAACAGGCUUUCUGUGAUUCCUCGCCUCCUAUCUCCUCCUGAGUCAUAUUGGAGGAGAAUGUCCAAGGUCCCUCCCCUGACCUUCUCGAAUGUGUACAAAACUCUCUCUCUUUCUCUCUCUCUCUCUCUCACUCUCCCCUCAGC
rnacentral:lncRNA from 1 species